rnacentral:rRNA from 1 species
CAGGAUUAGAUACCCUGGUAGUCCACGCCGUAAACGAUGUCGACUUGGAGGUUGUUCCCUUGAGGAGUGGCUUCCGGAGCUAACGCGUUAAGUCGACCGCCUGGGGAGUACGGCCGCAAGGUUAAAACUCAAAUGAAUUGACGGGGGCCCGCACAAGCGGUGGAGCAUGUGGUUUAAUUCGAUGCAACGCGAAGAACCUUACCUACUCUUGACAUCCACGGAAUUUAGCAGAGAUGCUUUAGUGCCUUCGGGAACCGUGAGACAGGUGCUGCAUGGCUGUCGUCAGCUCGUGUUGUGAAAUGUUGGGUUAAGUCCCGCAACGAGCGCAACCCUUAUCCUUUGUUGCCAGCGGUUCGGCCGGGAACUCAAAGGAGACUGCCAGUGAUAAACUGGAGGAAGGUGGGGAUGACGUCAAGUCAUCAUGGCCCUUACGAGUAGGGCUACACACGUGCUACAAUGGCAUAUACAAAGAGAAGCGACCUCGCGAGAGCAAGCGGACCUCAUAAAGUAUGUCGUAGUCCGGAUUGGAGUCUGCAACUCGACUCCAUGAAGUCGGAAUCGCUAGUAAUCGUAGAUCAGAAUGCUACGGUGAAUACGUUCCCGGGCCUUGUACACACCGCCCGUCACACCAUGGGAGUGGGUUGCAAAAGAAGUAGGUAGCUUAACCUUCGGGA